CAAUAGCGUAUAUUUAAGUUGUUGCAGUUAAAAAGCUCGUAGUUGGAUUUCGGAUGGGACUUGCCGGUCCGUCGUUUCGAUGUGCACUGGCCAGUCCUAUCUUGUUGUCGGGGACUAGCUCCUGGGCUUCACUGUCCGGGACUAGGAGCUGACGAGGUUACUUUGAGUAAAUUAGAGCGUUCAAAGCAAGCCUACGCUCUGAAUACAUUAGCAUGGAAUAACACGAUAGGACUCUGGCUUAUCUUGUUGGUCUGUGAGACCAGAGUAAUGAUUAAGAGGGACAGUCGGGGGCAUUCGUAUUUCAUUGUCAGAGGUGAAAUUCUUGGAUUUAUGAAAGACGAACUUCUGCGAAAGCAUUUGUCAAGGAUGUUUNCAUUAA
rnacentral:rRNA from 1 species